rnacentral:rRNA from 1 species
UACGAAGGGGGCUAGCGUUGUUCGGAAUUACUGGGCGUAAAGCGCACGUAGGCGGACAUUUAAGUCAGGGGUGAAAUCCCGGGGCUCAACCCCGGAACUGCCUUUGAUACUGGGUGUCUAGAGUAUGGAAGAGGUGAGUGGAAUUCCGAGUGUAGAGGUGAAAUUCGUAGAUAUUCGGAGGAACGACCAGUGGCGAAGGCGGCUCACUGGUCCAUUACGUGACGCUGAGGUGCGAAAGCGUGGGGAGCAAAGCAGG